CCUACGGGAGGCAGCAGUGAGGAAUAUUGGUCAAUGGGCGCGAGCCUGAACCAGCCAAGUAGCGUGAAGGAUGACUGCCCUACGGGUUGUCAACUUCUUUUAUCAAGGAAUAAAGUGAGGCACGUGUGCCUUUUUGUAUGUACUUUAUGAAUAAGGAUCGGCUAACUCCGUGCCAGCAGCCGCGGUAAUACGGAGGAUCCGCGCGUUAUCCGGAUUUAUUGGGUUUAAAGGGUGCGGAGAUGGGUUGUUAAGUCAGUUGUGAAAGUUUGCGGGUCAACCGUAAAAUCGCAAUUGAAACUGGCAGUCUUGAGUACAGGUGAGGUAGGCGGAAUGCGUGGUGUAGCGGUGAAAUGCUUAGAUAUCACGCAGAACUCCGAUUGCGAAGGCAGCUUACUAAACUGCCACUGACAUUGAUGCUCGAAAGUGUGGGUAUCAAACAGGAUUAGAUACCCGAGUAGUC
rnacentral:rRNA from 1 species